AACGAACGUUGGCGGCGUGGAUUAGGCAUGCAAGUCGAGCGAAUCCCCGCAAGGGGGGAAGCGGCGAAAGGGGCAGUAAGGCGUGGGUAACCUACCCCGGGGACUGGUAUAGCCCUUCGAGAGAAGGGGUAAUCCCGGGCGACGUGUCGAGGGGGCAUCUCCUUGCCACCAAAUGAGUUUCGCCCCGGGAGGGGCCCACGUGAUAUUAGCUAGUUGGUAGGGUAACGGCCUACCAAGGCGAAGAUGUCUAGCGGGUGUGAGAGCACGACCCGCGCCACUGGCACUGAGACACUGGCAAGACACCUACGGGUGGGUGCAGUCGAGGAUCUUCGGCAAUGGGCGCAAGCCUGACCGAGCGACGCCGCGUGGGCGAUGAAGGCCUUCGGGUUGUAAAGCCCUGUCGAGGGGGAGAAAGUGGAAACUUGAUCUAUCCCUGGAGGAGGCACGGGCUGAGUUCGUGCCAGCAGCCGCCGUAAGAC
rnacentral:rRNA from 1 species